rnacentral:lncRNA from 1 species
UUAAGAUGUGCUGUAAGGAUAAAAUGCACACCAGAUUUCAAUGACUUGCACUGUCUGGACUCUAGAAGAUGCUCUGAUUCAAGAGGAUGUAAAGAAAUUCUCUAAGCCGAUAAGAAAAAUAGAAGAAACCCAAAUGGGCAAUGAGUGCAUGGGAACUCACUCACCUCAGUGGAAAGGAGGGAAUGGCAAGCCAGCCCACUGAAGCCCACUGGGGACAUAGGACAAGUCUGCAAAGCAGAGACAGCCCCUCCAGGAAGAGCGACCAGGCCUUGAGAGGACAUGGCCUUAGGACCAGAUCCAGGGAAGACACAGUCACUAACCCCUGGCUCAUCUGGCAGGUGUGGGAAGCAGCCAGGCCCGUGGCUUCACCAGCUCCCCCCGAUCUCUGCCUUCAGCUGUCCUGCAGCCUGGGUCAGGCACCUAGGCAGCUUUAUGGCAGGCGGAGAUGCACCACCCACAUCCUCUUUCCAGGCAGGGCUUGCUGCCCUGGCUGUAGCGAGUGCGGCAGCAGGUGGCCUCCAGCUAUCAGCAACUUCAGAGAGCUGCCUUGCCUGAGGUCCCGUCCCUUCUGGGGAAGCUCCCAUCUGCCAGGGGGCUACAAAAGCACAGUGGACACCAUGAUGGGCAAUUCUGGCUGAUGGGAGCACCACCUGGUGGCUGAGGCAUUCUUGGGCCACAUAGCAGUUGACUGCCCUCUCCACCAUCUUUUCACAAGUGUUAAUCCCAAUAAACACCCAUCCUCUUCCAUCCCAA